GGUUGUGUAGUGUAAUGGUCAGCACAUCAGACUCUGAAUCUGGUAAUCCCGGUUCGAUCCCGGGCACGACCU